CAAAUAUAGUCGGGGGGCCUGAAGGCUGAGAUCGCAUAGUGCGAAACCCGUUGAACCUGAUUCAGUUAAUACUGGCGUAGGGAACUAUAAGUCUUGUUUU
rnacentral:ncRNA from 2 species